rnacentral:lncRNA from 1 species
AAAUCGAUCUCUGACUUGCAGUAUUUGCUGAUGGCUAAGGUAUAAAUGGUCAUACUGAAAAUGUAACCACUGGCUAAGCUGGUUAGAGCUGGGUCCUGUUUCAAGUUCUUUCUCUGGAUUGACUGUGAUAUUUAGAGCACAGGAGAUGAAAAAGGUUGCAGUGGAGAAUUAAACAAAGGAACAUAAGCGUAAUAUCACUGACAUGAUGGAGAAGUGAGUAUCCAUGGGAUUAGGGAGGAGGGCAAUAGCAUUGAGUGGGAAAAAAAGGGGCAUAUAGGAUUUGAAGAAAGAGCAUGAGAUUUGAAAUAUAAAAUUCUCAUUUCAGAUUCUGGUCCAUAUUUCUCAUGUGCUUCCUCAUUUGCAAAAUAAAGGAUUUGAACAAGUUGAUUUCUGAG